GGGCGUGUAGCUCAGCUGGGAGAGCGCCUGCAUGGCAUGCAGGAGGUCAUGGGUUCGAUCCCCUUCACGUCCA
rnacentral:tRNA from 1 species